CCCUGUGUGGAACAGAGGUGAGGGGCCCGAUGAGCAGCUCCAGGGCUCGCCGUGGCCUCAUCAAGAGAGAUGGGCACGUGAGGGCCGGUGCCAGUCUCGUGGGCUCUCUUGACCAUUGGGGUCCUCAGCCUAGACUCGCCCCUGCUGUGCUUGGCCAUGGGCACCCUGAUAAGACCUUCCACCCUGCACAUACCCCUAGAUCUUGAGUGUCCCUGGCCACACUACCCUAGGGCUUGCUUGAGAAGCCCUGUAGCUGCCCAUGUGCACAAACCCGGGGCGAGCUGCCCAGACAGGCCUGUGGGGCUGGCUGAGGGUUGGGCUGCCCUUAGCCAGGCCCCACUCCUGGCCAGAGGAGUGGCAGAUGCCAAACCACUGAAGCCAAAAAAGCUCUUAAGGCGGCUAUGAAGCCCCUUGGGGCCACAGCUUUCCUUCCAGGCAGCCCAAGUGGAAACUGGCCCCAGAAGUCGUGGUCCCAGCUCCCCUAGGCCGAGGCCCAGAUUUUCCGUGUGACUGUCCAGGGAGAAGGACAGGUGCCGUCAUCAGGGUGGGUCCGCCAGCCUUACUGCGCCAGUGCAAAUGUGCCGUGUGCGCGUGGCUUGGCGGGUGUGGCUCCCAGAGGAGAGCUCAGGGCCUUACGGCAGGGCCCUGGGAAAUAGCCCCCAGCCUUGGAGGACGCCUGAGGGACAGUGGUAGAGCUGCUCCCUGCAGGGGCCCCUGUCUGCACCCCACACUGCCCCGGUGCACACGCAGCCUGGCCUUGUCCACUCACAGGCACAGCUGAGGGGACUCAUCUUGGCUGAGGGCAGCGGGUGCUCUGGGAAUUACAGGAGAGCUCCUGCUCGCCUCAGGUCCCUGGGGCACCAUCCGGCUGGCAGCCAGGGCCUCUGAGCCAGUGGGCACGAGUACGCUUUCUGGUCAGGGGAUGAGCCUGCCCUGCCCAGCUGCACUCCCUCCCCAGGAAGCCCAGCUGCUAGAGCGGGAGCUGUCAUUUCUGACUGUUUGGGGGCCAAGAACAUCAGACUCCAAUUAGCAGUUCACGUAAGGUGAGAGGUGCAUGUGGACCGAGCUGGGGCCUGUCUCCUGCCCAGAAGCUGCUGGGGGUCCCGAGGUCUCUGCUCCAGGACCUUCCCAUCCCUGUCAUCUGAAGCCUGCGCUGGGCACCCCCACCCCACCGCCGCCCAUCCUUCUCCUUCAUGCUACUCCUGAAGUGUCCGUCCCUGUCUCCACCCCACAGCAGUCGAAGCCAGGGGCCUGGGGGAAGGCAAGGGCCUGCCAGCAUCAGAUUUCCUUCCUCCCAGUCACCCCUCCAUCCCCAUGGGCCCACCCCUGGCCGCUCCAUGGUACAUGGUUGGGGGGCAGGUUUGUUUCCCCAGAGAAACGAACUUUCCUCCCCUCUGAAAUCUUGAGGUCCACCACUGAAACGGGGUGGGGGAGAUUAGAAGGGAUCCCCAGUGGGCACAGGGGCAAGGCCUGCCUCAAUCCAGUGGUGCAGCUGCCCCUUCAGGGUGUUGGCUCUAGGGGCCUGCCCAGGGGACCUGCUGAGAACAGGGCGCAGGCGCCAUAAGAGAAGGGGAAGGGCUGGGCCGGGUGGAGCACAGAGCCAUGUGGGGAGGGCACGAGCCCCUGUGGCUCAGGAAGCGCAGCGUUCAGGGGUGGGGAGGGGUCCUGCCCUCACCGCACCCAUGCUUGCCUCUGCCUGGGCACAGGGCUUGACAAGGCCUCAACUUUUACUGGGCUCCAAGCAGAGAAGCCCCAGAUGUGUCUGCAGGCCUGAAAUAAAACAAAUGACUUUUAUAGGAAAAGCCA